rnacentral:rRNA from 1 species
UGGGGAAUAUUGCGCAAUGGGCGAAAGCCUGACGCAGCGACGCCGCGUGAGGGAUGAAGGUUUUCGGAUCGUAAACCUCUGUCAGAAGGGAAGAAACCGCACCGUGCUAAUCAGCGGUGCAUUGACGGUACCUUCAAAGGAAGCACCGGCUAACUCCGUGCCAGCAGCCGCGGUAAUACGGAGGGUGCAAGCGUUAAUCGGAAUUACUGGGCGUAAAGCGCACGUAGGCUGCUUUGUAAGUCAGGGGUGAAAUCCCACGGCUCAACCGUGGAACUGCCUUUGAUACUGCUUAGCUUGAAUCCGGGAGAGGGUGGCGGAAUUCCAGGUGUAGGAGUGAAAUCCGUAGAUAUCUGGAGGAACAUCAGUGGCGAAGGCGGCCACCUGGACCGGUAUUGACGCUGAGGUGCGAAAGCGUGGGGAGCAAACA